ACCACUUCCUGUUUAGCUUUCACUUGUAGAAGGACAGACCAGUUCUCAGUAUUUUAUUAUUCUCUGUUCUUAGUAUUCAGGGGUUCUAUUUAUCACCUUUAACUUCAUCUCUGCUGUUGGAGCAGAAACAUGUAACCAGUGGCACCUGGUGGUACUCCGCUGUCUGCCUCUGAUUGGGGCAGGCAGUGAUAAAGUAUGUCAGGUGAGUAGGCAGGUGCAGGUGAUUUUCUGUGAGAGGCCAGACCAACACGAGGUGUCACUGGUAACUUUUGUGUGUGACCACUGUUUUAUGGGGUGAGGGAGCUCCUGCUGUGGGUGAGAUGCCGUCAUAGCAGCGGGAGUUCAUCGAGGUUAAACGGUCUCCUGCUGUCUUUUUUUAGGGUUUUUAUUUGUAGGUUUUGUUUCGUUUAGUUAGUCCGCUUGGCUUUGCAGGGACGUACACUAAAAGACCUGGGUGCAUCGUGUGAGAGCGGACUAACUUUUCUAUUUUGUUAAUUCUUUUGUUGGGUUUGUUUCAUUUCACUUCCCUAUUUAAGUCCAAUUAAGAUAAUGAUCAGCCUUGACCCGAUUCCUGUGAAACCCGACAAAGUGUGACGGUGUUUAGGCACGCAUAAAUGGAAUGCAGUGCUAUUGGAGAUGCAGUGACAUUUUAGAGUGCAGUGAUUUGUUUUUCACCUUUGGUUCAUCGGGCUCAUAUGUGAUCGGCCUCAAGGGGAGAAGAUUGGAUUCUGUUCAGACAAGGGGAUUGUGAUCUUAUAAUAUUUGUAUCGUGAGUAAUAAAUAUUAAUAUUAACCAUA